UACGGAGGAUGCGAGCGUUAUCCGGAUUUAUUGGGUUUAAAGGGUGCGUAGGCGGAGUGUCAAGUCAGCGGUAAAAUUUCGGGGCUCAACCCCGUCGUGCCGUUGAAACUGACGCCCUUGAGUGAGUGAGAAGUAAGCGGAAUGCGUGGUGUAGCGGUGAAAUGCAUAGAUAUCACGCAGAACUCCGAUUGCGAAGGCAGCAUACCGGCGCUCAACUGACGCUCAUGCACGAAAGUGUGGGUAUCGAACAGGG
rnacentral:rRNA from 1 species